UCUUAGACAAUGGGCGCAAGCCUGAUCUAGCCAUGCCGCGUGAUCGAUGAAGGCCUUAGGGUUGUAGAGAUCUUUCAGUGGGGAAGAUAAUGACGGUACCCACAGAAGAAGCCCCGGCUAACUCCGUGCCAGCAGCCGCGGUAAUACGGAGGGGGCUAGCGUUAUUCGGAAUUACUGGGCGUAAAGCGCACGUAGGCGGAUUGACAAGUCAGAGGUAAAUCCCAGGGCUCAACCUUGGAACUGCCUUUGAAACUGUUUGUCUUGAGGUCGUAGAGGUGAGUGAAUUCCGAGUGAGAGGUAAAUUCGAGUUUCGAGAACACCAGUGGCAAGCGGCUACUGGACGUCUGCGUGCGUGAGAUAGA
rnacentral:rRNA from 1 species